rnacentral:lncRNA from 1 species
AUACUUGAGUCGGGGUGUUUGUGUUUGGAGUUAUGACUUAUUUAUGGCUGAUUAAACUAAUCAAAGAAAUUCCGUAGGUUGUAUUAUAUAGUGAAUUUCGAAAGUUGAUUAAUAAAUAAUUAAAGAAAUAAGUUAUGUUUAAAUAUAUAGCGAAUCUUCAAAGCUAUGGAAACUACCAAUAUAUCAUAACCUACCUAAUGUCUAAAUUAGCUACGGAAAUCCACUAUAUAUUAAAAUCCACCUAAUUUCUUUGAUUAUUUAUUAAUCAACCAUAAAUAAAAAUAAAACAGAAGUCCAAACACAAACCAAAACACAACACAUAACAGAGGUAAAUACGACACGUCAAAUCUAGAAUUGCAGCACACCGUCAAGGAAGAUAUCACACCACAACUGCACAGACUCGUAGCAGCAUUGACUUUGCAUUGAUACUUUUGCUUGUUCUUUUGUUUUGGGAAUUUUAAAGUUUGUGUAUGGUUUACUACAUGCUUAUUUAGUAUAUUUGGAAUUUUUUUACUAAUCUCUUGGUGGUACACGGUGAGGCUAAUGCCUCUGCCUCUCAACGAAAGAAUGCCUCAUUACCUUAAUUCGCAUUUUUAUACAAUGCCUCAUUCCGCAUUUUUAUACAAUGUAAUUCAUUAUAGUUUUAUCAAUCAAACCAAGAUUGACUUUGUGCUUUCUAAUUACAUCUCAACCGAUUUGCAAACACAAACUCCGACAAGGCUUGGAUCACAAGCUCCAUUUUUCGUAACCCACAAUAAUUUCAUCAGACUCUUUCACACCGCAGCCAAAAAUACAUUAUGUUUUAAGUUUUAAUUCCAUUGAAUAACUAAAUGAAUAGUUCUUAAAAAAUGCAAAUCGAUCAUAAAAUCACUCAUAAGCACUAUCAAUUUAAAUCAUUAUGCGUGUGAAACUUGACAGAGCAUAAACUUCCAAACAGCUCUAGAAAAGUCAUUUCAGGGUAAGCAUGAAUGUUAUGUGAUUCACAAUUGCACUCGCCAGACCCCAAUCGAACUAAAUCCAAAAUACAUCUAAACGAAUUGCAGAGUGGAUGACACUAUAUGGACUAGAAUUCACGGAAGCAGAAUAAAAAAUUCAACUUUAAGUACCACGUUAAGAUCCCAUUUGUCAGGGUCGUUAAGCUGGGAGUGCCAGAAGGCUUUGAUUUUCUCCACUGAUAUCACUGUUUCCGCCAUUUCCAACUUCUUCUUCUUCGUGGG